CUCCUACGGGAGGCAGCAGUGAGGAAUAUUGGUCAAUGGACGAAAGUCUGAACCAGCCAUGCCGCGUGCAGGAUGAAGGCCCUAUGGGUUGUAAACUGCUUUUGUUUGGGAAGAAACUUCCGUACGUGUACGGAAUUGACGGUACCAGGCGAAUAAGCAUCGGCUAACUCCGUGCCAGCAGCCGCGGUAAUACGGAGGAUGCAAGCGUUAUCCGGAUUUAUUGGGUUUAAAGGGUGCGUAGGCGGAAUAAUAAGUCAGUGGUGAAAUACCCCGGCUCAACCGGGGAACUGCCAUUGAUACUGUUAAUCUAGAGUACAUUUGAUGUGGGCGGAAUGUAGCAUGUAGCGGUGAAAUGCUUAGAUAUGCUACAGAACACCGAUUGCGAAGGCAGCUCACUAAACUGUAACUGACGCUGAGGCACGAAAGCGUGGGGAGCAAACAGGAUUAGAUACCCUGGUAGUCCACGCUGUAAACGAUGAUCACUCGUUGUUGGCGAUAUACAGUCAGCGACUGAGCGAAAGUAUUAAGUGAUCCACCUGGGAAGUACGAUCGCAAGGUUGAAACUCAAAGGAGUUGACGGGGGCCCGCACAA
rnacentral:rRNA from 1 species